rnacentral:rRNA from 1 species
GACGGAGGAUGCAAGCGUUAUCCGGAAUGAUUGGGCGUAAAGCGUGCGCAGGCGGUGAUGUAAGACAGGUGUGAAAUCCCCGGGCUCAACCUGGGAACUGCAUUUGUGACUGCAUGGCUGGAGUGCGGCAGAGGGGGAUGGAAUUCCGCGUGUAGCAGUGAAAUGCGUAGAUAUGCGGAGGAACACCGAUGGCGAAGGCAAUCCCCUGGGCCUGCACUGACGCUCAUGCACGAAAGCGUGGGGAGCAAACAGG